CUAGAAGACUACUUAAGCCCAGGCCAAGAGUUUGGAACCUGGUUUGAGCUAUGGUGUUUGAGCUCUGCUACAUCUACGUACUUGCUUGGCUAGAGACCUUGGUUGGUCCAGCUCCCUGAACUGUUUUCUUAGCUUGAGCUUGGACCUACCUUGUCACUAUGGACUUAUGUGACAGUUACUGGACCUGAACUGUGGAUUGGCUUCCUGGUUUGACUUGAUAGAUCACUGUGAACUUCUGUGAUGCUUCUUGGUGGGACUUGGCUGAUAGUACCAAUCUCCCUGCCUCAUCUUGUUCAGAUAUGGCAGACAGUCUUAAGAGGCUCUUCAGCAUUAGCAAAGUAUCACCACGGCAGCUGGAAAUGGACAAUUUUGGCAUUUGGGUUUUGAAUUGGAAAUCUGUUCCACGGAUUUUUUUUCACCUCCUAAGAAUGUUUCAGAUGCUUUGGAUUUGCAAAAAUAUUGUGAUUGCUUUUUGUGGUUGUGUGAUGAAGUUCAGCACAAGUACCUGUGCUGCUUAAAUUGUGCCCAACCUGUUAUGAUGUGGGAGGGACUUUCAGCUCAAUUACAUA